ACAAAUUUCAUUUUACGCUUGAUCAAUAUUUUCCCAAUAUGGUAUCAGAGCCUUCGUCAUGAAGGCUUUGGUUACCGCUGCACAUUCUCUAAAAUUAUUAUCUUCCUCUUCCAAGAUUCAACAAAGAAUCAUCCUCAACAAUUCAAUGGAAGAAGAUCAAGAAUUGGUGAAAAAACAUGUGCAAAUUCUCUAACAACCAAGAGGCA
rnacentral:lncRNA from 1 species